rnacentral:misc_RNA from 1 species
AAGUCGUAACAAGGUUUCCGUAGGUGAACCUGCGGAAGGAUCAUUAAUGGGUUCUUUUUUUUUCUAUGUUGUGGAAGUGUCUGCUGUUGUGGGGAUAUUUUAUUGUAUUUUAUCCCCGCGCUAGUCAACGUGAUCUUUAUUCUAGUCUGACUUUUAUUUAAAAAUAAUAAAAGACAACUUUUAGCAACGGAUCUCUUGGCUCUC